rnacentral:sRNA from 1 species
GCCAGCCCAGAUCAGGGCCAUGAGCCAAGGCUUGGCCUUGCUGUGAGCAAGGGCUGUGAGGAAGAUUUGGCAAAAUUUUAAUUAACUGAAGAUAAACAUACAUGGGGAGAACCAGUCCAUUAGCUGUCCGUGCCACCUAGUGAGAAAAGGCCCGCUAAUCACACACCGCAGCAGCCCAGGAAAGGCAGAAACACACGCUCAGCACAAUGACGUUGGAAUGGAACUUCCCUGGAGGGUGGCCACUGGAAAUCAAGCCAAGGGAACCCAAAGUGAAGACCUGUCCUGGAGUCAGGCCCGGGCCAGUUGGGGCCAGAAGAGGAGGCGGGGCAGCCCUGUACCUGCCUGAGGUGCUGGUCUGCUCCCACCCUGACGACAAUGGAUUAAGCCUCUGAAGCUAGAUAAUGACAGAGCCACCCCUGAAUAUUUGAUCUGCAGCAUCCCUGGCUUCCACUUGCAUGAGACAUUUGGCGUGGUUCUCCUGUGCUCUGCAAGCCUGGCAGCUUGUGUUUCUCUCCUGCUGUGGCGCAGUGUGGGGCUUUGGACAGGCGCCUGACUGUUACGCUUCCCUUAAUGUUUUUGUUUGUGCUUCUGUCAAAUAUCUUCUUAAAGGUUGAUUCCUGUCCUCUCUUAAG